AAUAGAUACCCUGGUAGUCCACGCCGUAAACGAUGUCGACUUGGAGGUUGUUCCCUUGAGGAGUGGCUUCCGGAGCUAACGCGUUAAGUCGACCGCCUGGGGAGUACGGCCGCAAGGUUAAAACUCAAAUGAAUUGACGGGGGCCCGCACAAGCGGUGGAGCAUGUGGUUUAAUUCGAUGCAACGCGAAGAACCUUACCUACUCUUGACAUCCAGAGAACUUAGCAGAGAUGCUUUGGUGCCUUCGGGAACUCUGAGACAGGUGCUGCAUGGCUGUCGUCAGCUCGUGUUGUGAAAUGUUGGGUUAAGUCCCGCAACGAGCGCAACCCUUAUCCUUUGUUGCCAGCGGUUAGGCCGGGAACUCAAAGGAGACUGCCAGUGAUAAACUGGAGGAAGGUGGGGAUGACGUCAAGUCAUCAUGGCCCUUACGAGUAGGGCUACACACGUGCUACAAUGGCGCAUACAAAGNGAAGCGACCUCGCGAGAGCAAGCAGACCUCAUAAAGUGCGUCGUAGUCCGGAUUGG
rnacentral:rRNA from 1 species